GUUCUUGCUUGGGUGGCACGUGUACUAAAAUUGGAAUGUUACAGAGGAGAUUAGCAUUACCCCUGUGCAAGGAUGAUACGAACUCAUGAAGAACAAGCACUGGAG
ensembl:snRNA U6 U6 spliceosomal RNA